CCUAUUUUUGUUGUUAUUAUGGGCAUGAAAUCUCAAACGACAUCUUUGGAGCUUCAGCCUCGAUCCAUGUCCCAACGAUGCAGCUUGAGACGCAUCUCCUCUUGUCUCCUCUCCCCUAGUCAUCACACCAGGAAUAGAACCCAUCACCUUACUCCUCUUCAUUACCUCACCCUUUUACUGAAUCAAUGCUCCACCUUCAACCAGAUAAGCCAAGCUCACACCUUUAUGCUCUCCCGUGGCCUCGAUCAAGACAAUCUCCUCCUCAGCAAGUUCAUCCAUGUGUGUUCUUCCUUGGGCUUCAAAGACUACGCCUUUACGCUCUUUCAAUGCAAACCAAGUCCCGAUCUUCAUCUUUAUAACACAAUGAUCAGAAGUUUCUCUCAGUCGGAUUCAGCAAGAGACGCCAUUGAUUUGUUCAACAAGAUUCAAGCCGCAGGUUUUAGACCCGACACUUACUCGUUUCCUUUUCUGCUGAAGGCUGCUGCACAUUUAUCCAACGCAGACGUCGGAAGAGAGGCUCAUGGACAGGUUGUUCGACUAGGUUUUGAAUUCGACAUUCAUGUCUCAACUGGUCUUGUUCAUAUGUACUCUGCUUGCAGAUGUAUCAGUGACGCCCGCCUCCUGUUUGACGAAAUUCCUCAAAAGGAUGUGGUUCUUUGGAAUGCAAUGGUUGCAGGUUACUCGAAGGUUGGUGAUCCCGAGAGUGCGCGCUUGCUGUUUGAUAGAAUGGCUGAAAGGAAUCUCAUAUCGUGGACGUCGAUGAUCGCAGGAUAUGCACAAAUGAAUCGUGCUGAUGAGGCGGUUGUCUUCUUUCGUAGGAUGCAGGUCGAGGAUGGCAUUGAGCCAGAUGAAGUAGCAUCAUUGUCAGCACUUUCAGCUUGUGCUCAGUUAGGUGCUCUGAAUUUAGGUGAAUGGAUUCAUAGUUUCAUUGAUAAGCAUUGCUUGCAUAAGACCAUCCCGCUGAGUAAUGCACUCAUUGACAUGUAUGCUAAAGCAGGUGACAUAUGGAAGGCAUUUGAAGUGUUUGAAAGCAUGAAGAGUAGGAGUAUUGUUACUUGGACUUCCAUGAUAGCUGGUUUUGCACUUCAUGGGCUUGGGAGCGAAGCGCUACAACUCUUUGAUCGAAUGGAAAGCGAAGGCGUGAAACCGAAUGGUGUUACUUUUAUAGCCAUUCUAUCAGCUUGCAGCCACAUUGGUGAUGUUGUGUUGGGAAGAAGGUAUUUCAGCUCAAUGAAAUCAUUUUAUAAUGUUGAGCCUCAAAUAGAGCACUAUGGUUGUAUGAUUGAUAUUCUUGGUCGCGCCGGUUGCUUAAGGGAGGCGAGGGAUCAAGUUAGAGAAAUGCCUUUUAAGCCUAAUGCAGCUAUAUGGGGAUCUUUGUUGUCUGCUUCAAGAAUUGUAGGCGAUGUUGAGGUUGGCCAGGAGGCGUUGAAGCAUCUCAUCGAAGUUGAGCCUGAAAAUAGUGGGAACUAUUCUAUAUUAUCCAAUAUUCAUGCAAUACACGGGAACUGGGAUGAUGCUGGAAGAUUGAGGAGGGUUAUGAAGGAUUGGGGAGUUGUUAAAGUUCCUGGAGGGAGUUCUAUUGAAUUAGAUGGCAAAGUUCAUGAAUUUACGUCCAUGGAUGGACUCCAUCCUUCAUUGGAGGAGAUAUAUGGGGUUCUUGAUGAGAUGAAGAUGAACCUAAAGAUCAAUUGGUAUGCUCCAAGGUUUUGUGAAGGCGUGUUAGAGGAGGAAGGUUUCAUUUCGUAAUAUGCCGUGCAGUGCAAGGAAGGAAAAUGAAGACGAGGGGAGGAGAAAGGAGAAGAGAUAGUGUGUAGCAAAGAGAAGCUGGAGCUGAUCCUUAUAUGGAGUUGGAUGGAAGAAAACAGCACUGGACAAUUCCCAAUGUAUCUCACUUUGGCCCCAUAGAAUAACACUAUCAUAACAUUGGGAGCUUGAAAACAAUGGCUGGAAAGUUACAGCUUCUCUCCAAAACCACCUUUCGACUCGAAUUCCUUUCAUCAUUUAAGUUGAGGUAAGGCAUGAUUAGCAUCUUAUCUUCCAGUGGGGUCUUCUGACAGUGAUGGGCUCAUGCAUGAAAGCCAAAGAAGUAGAUGCUCCUACAGACAACAACUUUCUUUGAUGGAUUUGGAGUGGAUAGAAAAAAUGGAAAGAUGGAGCAGUAUGGAGGGCACAGGAGAGGACAUGAACAAGUAGUUGGAGAAAAUAGUAGGCUUAUAAAGUUGCUUGAGAGGGCCUGACUCUUUGUAAGGGGCCAUCUUAAUCCUAAAGUCUAUAAAAAUGUCAAUUUUGUCCUCAGACUCUUUUAAUUGAGUACUAUUUUAACUCGUAUUAAAAGAGUAUAAGAUUAAUUUGACAUUUUUAUAGAGUAGGGGGCUAAAAUGACACUAUUUAAAUAGUCAGUGUACCAUUUUGGCACUUUACUCAUAAGAUGUAGGACUUCUGGUUCAGUGAGGUCCCCCUCAAUUUUCUCAAGAGUGAAAUAGAGCUGAUGGUUAAUUAUACUACGGUGCUUCUCAUAGAAACUCAGUGUAGCACUACGAGGUGGUGUUUAUCAUCGACUUUUUCGUCCUCCGCAACCCCACGCCGCUACAUCUUUCAUAGCCUCUUCCCCGGUGCCCCCUACUACCGCGCCUUCUCAACUUUGCUACAUCUUCCCUACUUGCUAUCCCCUUCAACUGUAGCCGUCCAGCCUUGCCGCAGCUACGGCCUUGCUGCCCCUUGCGCCCUGCAACCACAGGCCUCCACUCCCACACCACCGUCAAUUGCCCCAACUUGUUGUCAUUCGAUCAACUGACGCACCCUACCAUUAUUUCUCGUUAAACCGCAACAUCAUCACCCCUGAUCUAUGCCCUUGUUUAAGUUCUUGUUGUGUCAUUUUGUUAUUUUUUUUAUUUCCAAAUGUGUUGGUUGUAAUCUCUAUUUUAUUUCAGUAAUAAGAUUUGCAUUUCUUACUAA